UACGUAGGGUGCAAGCGUUGUCCGGAAUUAUUGGGCGUAAAGAGCUCGUAGGCGGUCUGUCACGUCGGCUGUGAAAACCUGGGCUCAACUCCGGGCCUGCAGCCGAUACGGGCAGACUAGAGUUCGGCAGGGGAGACUGGAAUUCCUGGUGUAGCGGUGAAAUGCGCAGAUAUCAGGAGGAACACCGGUGGCGAAGGCGG
rnacentral:rRNA from 1 species